rnacentral:rRNA from 1 species
GGACCCGCACAAGCGGUGGAUGAUGUGGAUUAAUUCGAUGCAACGCGAAAAACCUUACCUACCCUUGACAUGUGAGGAACUUGUGAGAGAUCACUUGGUGCCCGAAAGGGAACCUCAACACAGGUGCUGCAUGGCUGUCGUCAGCUCGUGUCGUGAGAUGUUGGGUUAAGUCCCGCAACGAGCGCAACCCUUGUCAUUAGUUGCUACAUUUAGUUGAGCACUCUAAUGAGACUGCCGGUGACAAACCGGAGGAAGGUGGGGAUGACGUCAAGUCCUCAUGGCCCUUAUGGGUAGGGCUUCACACGUCAUACAAUGGCACGUACAGAGGGUUGCCAACCCGCGAGGGGGAGCCAAUCCCAGAAAGCGUGUCGUAGUCCGGAUUGUCUCUGCAACUCGAGAACAUGAAGUCGGAAUCGCUAGUAA